rnacentral:tRNA from 1 species
GCACUAGUGGUCUAGUGGUAGAAUAGUACCUUCCCACAGUACAGACUCGGGUUCGAUUCUUGAUUGGUGUG